ACAGCUGCGAGGCCGUGCACUAGACUGACGACGCGGGCGCUUCUGAGGACUCACGAGUGCGCUGAUGGCGCCUUCUGGACGGACACCGGACGAAGUAGCACUUGCCCUCAACUAAUUCACAACAGACGUUCUUCAAGCUCCUCAUUCCGAUCAUUUUUAUCAGGAUGUUCACCGAUUUUUGAGAGUGAAUGGUUGCAAAAAGUUGUGAGGAAAUGAAGAGUCUUUGAUGGCGAUCGGCUGCUUUGGAUCUGAAAUGGAAUUUUUGGAAUUUGUGGAAGUUUUUAUGUGUUUCAAGGGAGGGAAUGGGUUAAAAUUUUUGGGAAUCAAUGGCUUGUGGUGUUUGUUGAAUGGAAGAAUUGUGAUUUUUGGAUUUGGAUUUGGCGAAUGGCACCGCCUGGACAGAUAUUGGACCGAACUUUCUCUUGUUCUUGACGAAUUCACAAGAGACGUUCUUCAAGCUCCUCAUUCCGAUCAUUUUUAUCAGGAUGUUCACCGAUUUUUGAGGUGAGUGAUUUAGUCGAACAAUGGCACUGAGGUUAUUGUCGUGUAAAAUAUUCAGUUGUCGAUAUUUAUUGUUUUUUUAGAGUGAAUUGUUGCAAAAAGUUGUGAGGAAAUGAAGAGUCUUUGGUGGCGAUCGGCUGUUUUGGACUUGAGAUGGAAUUUUUGGAAUUUGUGGGAGUUUUUAUGUGUUUCAAGGGAGGGAAUGGGUUAAAAUUUUUGGGAAUCAACGACUCGUGGUGUUUGUUGAAUGGAAGAACUGUGAUUUUUGGAUUUGGAUUUGGCAAAUGGCAUCGCCUGGACAGACUCUGACCCGAACUUACCCUUGUCCUUGACUAAUCCAUAACAAACAUUCUUCAGACUCCUUAAUCCGAUCAUUUUUACGGAGAUUUUCACCAAUUUUUGAGGGUGAAUUGUUACAAAAACUAGUGGCGAGAUGACGACUCUUUGGUGGAAAUCGUCUAUUUUGGACAUGAGAUGGCAAUUUUGGAAUUUUCGUAAGUUUUUGUCUGUUUCAAAGGAGAUUAUGG